ACAUACCAAUUUUUGGGACACAAUCCACAUCAUUAUCACCAAAAUCGCAUCGACUGUGAUUUUCAAGGAAAGUCGUUGCUCCUCCUUUAAAACCCUAACCAGCACAUUUGAUACAUAAGUCCGAUCCUAUAUUUCUUAUUUGGGACUUACAGUAAUACCAUAUAGACAGAUCUAUGACCCAAUGUCAAUUCUUAAAUAAGCUCGGUCCAUUCCCCCGAAAAUUUUCGCUGCCGCAAGCGCCGUCCACGAAAGCAAUUAUACUUAACAAAUAUAAAACAUUUUCCGUGUUGAUAUACAGUUAUAUCAACACGAGUGGAAAUUGGGAAAACGAGAAAUUGUGUGGAAACACGACACCCGAA